rnacentral:rRNA from 1 species
GACGAACGCUGGCGGCGUGCUUAACACAUGCAAGUCGAACGGUAAGGCUCCAUCUUGCUGGAGUGGAUCAGUGGCGAACGGGUAAGUAACACGUAAGCAACCUGCCCCUGACUCUGGAAUAAGCGCUGGAAACGGCGUCUAAUACUGGAUACGAGAAGGGUCCGCAUGGGCACUUUCUGGAAAGUUGUUCGGUUGGGGAUGGGCUCGCGGCCUAUCAGCUUGUUGGUGAGGUAAUGACUCACCAAGGCGACGACGGGUAGCCGGCCGGAGAGGGCGACCGGCAAAAUUGGGACUGAGAAACGGCCAAGACUCCUACGGGAGGCAGCAGGGGGGAAUAUUGAACAAGGGGCGAAAGCCUGAUGCAGCGACGCCGCGGGAGGGAUGACGGCCUCCGGGUGGUAAACCUCUUUCAGCAGGGAAGAAGCGAAAGUGACGGUACCUGCAGAAGAAGCACCGGCUAACUACGUG